UACGGGGGGAGCAAGCGUUGUUCGGAUUUACUGGGCGUAAAGGGCGCGUAGGCGGCCACCGCAAGUCGGUUGUGAAAUCUCCGGGCUUAACCCGGAAAGGUCAAUCGAUACUGCGGGGCUAGAGUGCAGAAGGGGCAACUGGAAUUCUCGGUGUAGCGGUGAAAUGCGUAGAUAUCAGGAGGAACACCAAUAGCGAAGGCAGCUCGCUGGGACGUUACUGACACUGAGGCGCGAAAGCGUGGGGAGCGAACAGG
rnacentral:rRNA from 1 species